rnacentral:rRNA from 1 species
GGACGAACGCUGGCGGCGUGCCUAAUACAUGCAAGUCGAGCGGACCGACGGGAGCUUGCUCCCUUAGGUCAGCGGCGGACGGGUGAGUAACACGUGGGUAACCUGCCUGUAAGACUGGGAUAACUCCGGGAAACCGGGGCUAAUACCGGAUGCUUGAUUGAACCGCAUGGUUCAAUCAUAAAAGGUGGCUUUUAGCUACCACUURCAGAUGGACCCGCGGCGCAUUAGCUAGUUGGUGAGGUAACGGCUCACCAAGGCGACGAUGCGUAGCCGACCUGAGAGGGUGAUCGGCCACACUGGGACUGAGACACGGCCCAGACUCCUACGGGAGGCAGCAGUAGGGAAUCUUCCGCAAUGGACGAAAGUCUGACGGAGCAACGCCGCGUGAGUGAUGAAGGUUUUCGGAUCGUAAAACUCUGUUGUUAGGGAAGAACAAGUACCGUUCGAAUAGGGCGGYACCUUGACGGUACCUAACCAGAAAGCCACGGCUAACUACGU